GUCCGUGCCGUGAGGUGUAUGGUUAAGUCCUACAAAACGAACGCAACCCUCGAAUUUAGUUACCAUCAUAAAAAAGUUGGGGACUCUAGAUUGACUGAUGGAUGGGG
rnacentral:ncRNA from 1 species